rnacentral:sRNA from 1 species
GGCCUGGGUGCCUCGGGAGGACUCCCCAAACUGGCUCCCCAAGUUCUAAUACCCAGUGCCUGCCGGAGGCAGCCGUCUCCCAGCCUGGCAGUGCCGUGGCAUCCGACUGGCGGGUGGUGGUGGAGGAGCGGAUCAGAAGCAAGACUCGGCGGCUCUCCAAGGGUGGCCCGAGGCAGGGCCCGGCAGGCAGCCCCAGCAGAUUCAGCUCCGUGGCCGGCCACUUCUUCUUCCCCCUCCUUCAGCGCUUUGACAGGUGAGUGGGUUUUCCGUGGGCCUGUGGAUGUGGGGACAGGGACCCUGGACGUACCCCUGUGGCCAGGAAGUUCAGGCUGGGGUCUGAGUGGGUUUGGGUGUGAACAGGGUCGUGGCUUUGCUGUGGCUUUUUGUAAGCCUGUGUUAAGAGGCAGGAAGCGUCCCACAAGGUUCCUCUGCGGUUGAGCUUUGCCAUGAGGCACCAGGCAUCUGCUCUGGGCUUGCGGCAUGGCCGGCAGUGCUGCCCGCAUGUGCCCGACGCCAUCACCCGCUGGGCCCUGCUCGCCUCCUCCUGCC